rnacentral:rRNA from 1 species
UGCGUAGGCGGGCUAUUAAGUCAGUGGUGAAAGCUUGCAGCUUAACUGUAAAAUUGCCAUUGAAACUGAUAGCCUCGAAUAUGGUUGAGGUGGUUGGAAUGUAUCAUGUAGCGGUGAAAUGCUUAGAUAUGAUACAGAACACCGAUUGCGAAGGCAGAUCACUAAACCAUUAUUGACGCUGAGGCACGAAAGCGUGGGGAUCAAACA